UACGAAGGGGACUAGCGUUGUUCGGAAUACUGGGCGUAAAGCGCACGUAGGCGGAUUUGUAAGUCAGGGGUGAAAUCCCGGGGCUCAACCUCGGAACUGCCUUUGAUACUGCAAAUCUCGAGUCCGAUAGAGGUGGGUGGAAUUCCUAGUGUAGAGGUGAAAUUCGUAGAUAUUAGGAAGAACACCGGUGGCGAAGGCGGCCCACUGGAUCGGUACUGACGCUGAGGAGCGAAAGCGUGGGGAGCGAACAGG
rnacentral:rRNA from 1 species